GAUGAACGCUGGCGGCGUGCCUAAUACAUGCAAGUCGAGCGAAUGGAUUAAGAGCUUGCUCUUAUGAGGUUAGCGGCGGACGGGUGAGUAACACGUGGGUAACCUGCCCAUAAGACUGGGAUAACUCCGGGAAACCGGGGCUAAUACCGGAUAACAUUUUGAACCGCAUGGUUCGAAAUUGAAAGGCGGCUUCGGCUGUCACUUAUGGAUGGACCCGCGUCGCAUUAGCUAGUUGGUGAGGUAACGGCUCACCAAGGCAACGAUGCGUAGCCGACCUGAGAGGGUGAUCGGCCACACUGGGACGGGGACACGGCCCAGACUCCUACGGGAGGCAGCAGUAGGGAAUCUUCCGCAAUGGACGAAAGUCUGACGGAGCAACGCCGCGUGAGUGAUGAAGGCUUUCGGGUCGUAAAACUCUGUUGUUAGGGAAGAACAAGUGCUAGUUGAAUAAGCUGGCACCUUGACGGUACCUAACCAGAAAGCCACGGCUAACUACGUGCCAGCCGCCGCGGUAA
rnacentral:rRNA from 1 species